AUUGAACGCUGGCGGCAGGCCUAACACAUGCAAGUCGAGCGGACGGAGGGGGCUUUUUCCUGGAUUCAGCGGCGGACGGGUGGGUGAUGCACAGGAGUAUGCCUGGCCUUUGGGGAUGACGUCCGGAAACGGGCGCUAAUAUCACAUACGACAUGAUGUUGAAACGGGUGGAUCAUUGGACAUCGCCCUAUCAGAUGAGCCUAGUCCGGAUUAGCUAGUUGGUUGGGUAAAGGCUUACCAAGACGACGAUCCGUAACUGGUCUGAGAGGAUGAUCAGCCACACUGGAACUGAGACACGGUCCAGACUCCUACGGGAGGCAGCAGUGGGGAAUCUUCCGCAAUGGGCGAAAGCCUGACCCAGCAAUGCCGCGUGUGUGAUGAAGGUCUUCGGAUCGUAAAGCUCUUUUAGUAGGGAGGAACAGAAGUAAAUUUAUCCCUGGCCGUCUUGACGGUACCUACUCAAAAAGCCACGGCUAACUACGUG
rnacentral:rRNA from 1 species